AGCAGUCGCCACGGUAAUACGAGGGGUGCAAGCGUUAGUCGGAAUUACUGGGCGUAAAGCGUGCGUAGGCGGUUUGUUAAGUCUGUUGUGAAAUCCCCGGGCUCAACCUGGGAAUGGCAAUGGAUACUGGCAAGCUAGAGUGUGUCAGAGGAUGGUGGAAUUCCCGGUGUAGCGGUUAAAUGCGUAGAGAUCGGGAGGAACAUCAGUGGCGAAGGCGGCCAUCUGGGACAACACUGACGCUGAGGCACGAAGGCGUGGGGAGCAAACAGGAUUAGAUACCCCCGUAGUCCCUGUCUCUUAUAC
rnacentral:rRNA from 1 species